rnacentral:tRNA from 1 species
CAAAUUAAUUUAGUAAAAUUAUUUAUUUACAAUAAAUAAAAAUUUCGUGCAAAUCGAUUUAAUUUGA